CUUCAGUGAUGAUACAACCACGAGUCAGAAAAGGAUGUUAUCCUGUUAUGUGCAUCCUUCUCAGUGUCAUGUUCUAUGAGGCUGUGCUCGGGUACCAUAGCAGGAUCGUCCUGUUCACUGGAUGAUUUAGAGGCAUUUGUCUGAGAAGG
ensembl:snoRNA SNORD15 Small nucleolar RNA SNORD15